rnacentral:rRNA from 1 species
GAUGAACGCUGGCGGCGUGCUUAACACAUGCAAGUCGAACGGAAAGGCUCCUGCUUGCCGGGGUACUCGAGUGGCGAACGGGUGAGUAACACGUGGGUGAUCUGCCCUGCACUUCGGGAUAAGCCUGGGAAACUGGGUCUAAUACCGGAUAGGACCACAUUUUGGAUGGUGUGGUGGAAAGUUUUUCGGUGUGGGAUGAGCUCGCGGCCUAUCAGCUUGUUGGUGGGGUAAUGGCCUACCAAGGCGUCGACGGGUAGCCGGCCUGGGAGGGUGUACGGCCACAUUGGGACUGAGGUACGGCCCAGACUCCUACGGGAGGCAGCAGUGGGGAAUAUUGCACAAUGGGCGCAAGCCUGAUGCAGCGACGCCGGGUGGGGGAUGACGGCCUUCGGGUUGUAAACUCCUUUCGCUAGGGACGAAGCGCAAGUGACGGUACCUGGAGAAGAAGCAACGGCUAACUACGUG